GUAAAUUAAAAUCAACACUUUGCAUUUCUUUCAGCUUUUGGAUUUAACUGUGGUUAAUCCUCAGGAGAGUCCCAAGUGCACACUGCCAUAGCAGAAGGAAAGGACCUUGCUGGUGCCAGUGGACUCUUCAUAAGACCAGAGAGAAAAUGAAACUGGACUCUACACAGGGCAGGCCAGCAGGUUCUUGUAAAGGUUCCAAAGUCACUAGAGGAAUUGAUGAAUAGAACAAUCUCAGCUGCUUCCUUGUGCAUCAUCACCUGGGAAGAGAUGCUUUGUGUUCCUUUGAAGAAUAUGUACGUGAUAGGAAGAGAGCCAUUCUCCGAGAGACAAGACAGGGUCACAUUCUGGCCUUUCUUUGCUUGAGAGGUGGAGAUCCAGAAUCUGAGUUGCAGGAGAGGGUCACGUUCUGGUUCAUCUCUACAUUCAAAGUCCCCUGAAGAGGUUUGAGCCUGGGAUUGGACAGCAUCUCUGGAAAGAAGAAACUGCUGAGGUCUUUUUCAUCUUCUGAUUGCAGGCAACACAGCUUUGUAUGUUUCAAAACC